rnacentral:rRNA from 1 species
UUCGGGUUAGUGGCGGACGGGUGAGUAACGCGUGGGAAUCUGCCCUCAGGAGGGGGAUAACGGUUGGAAACGACCGCUAAUACCCCAUAUGCCGAGAGGUGAAACGAAUUUCGCCUGAGGAUGAGCCCGCGUCUGAUUAGCUAGUUGGUGGGGUAAAGGCCUACCAAGGCAUCGAUCAGUAGCUGGUCUGAGAGGAUGAUCAGCCACACUGGGACUGAGACACGGCCCAGACUCCUACGGGAGGCAGCAGUGGGGAAUUUUCCGCAAUGGGCGCAAGCCUGACGGAGCAACGCCGCGUGAGGGAUGAAGGCCUCUGGGCUGUAAACCUCUUUUCUCAAGGAAGAAGAACUGACGGUACUUGAGGAAUAAGCCACGGCUAAUUCCGUGCCAGCAGCCGCGGUAAUACGGGAGUGGCAAGCGUUAUCCGGAAUUAUUGGGCGUAAAGCGUCCGCAGGCGGCCUUGAAAGUCUGUCGUUAAAGCGUGGAGCUUAACUCCAUUUCGGCGGUGG